UUUUGCCUACGGGAGGCAGCAGUGGGGGAUAUUGCACAAUGGGGGAAACCCUGAUGCAGCGACGCCGCGUGAGCGAUGAAGUAUUUCGGUAUGUAAAGCUCUGUCAGCAGGGAAGAAGAAAGACGGUACCUGACCAAGAAGCCCCGGCUAACUACGUGCCAGCAGCCGCGGUAAUACGUAGGGGGCAAGCGUUAUCCGGAUUUACUGGGUGUAAAGGGAGCGUAGACGGCAGGGCAAGUCUGGAGUGAAAGGCAGGGGCCCAACCCCUGGACUGCUCUGGAAACUGUCCGGCUGGAGUGCAGGAG
rnacentral:rRNA from 1 species